GGUUUGAUUAUGGUCGAUUGAACGCUGGCGGGAUGCUUUACACAUACAAGUCGAACGGGGCAGCACGGACUUGGUCUCAGUGGCGAGGCGAACGGCUGAGUAAUGUAUCGGAACGUGCCUAGUAGCGGGGAUAACUACGCGAAAGCGUAGCUAAUACCGGCGGGCCGCCCUUCGGGGGAAAGCGGGGGGACCUUCUCGCCUGCACUAUUAGAGCGGCCGAUAUCGAUUGGGCUAGUUGGUGGGGUAAAUGGCCUCACCAAGGCGACGAUCCGUACAGUUGUUUGAGAGGACGACCGGCCAUACUGGACCGAGACACGGCCCAGACUCCUACGGGAGGCAGCAGUGGGGAAUUUGACAAUGGGGGAAACCCUGACCAGGCCAUCCCGCGUGUGCGAUGCGAAGGCCUUCGGGUUGUAAAGCACUUUUGCAGGAAAGAAACGGCACGUGGAUAUCACCGUGUAACUGACGGUACCUGCAGAAUAAGCACCGCUAACUACGCAGCAGCCAGCAGCCGCGGUAAUACUUUUGUGGGUAAGCGUUAAUCGGAAUUACUGGGCGUAAAGCGUGGCAGGCGUUCGAAAGAAAGAUGUGAAAUCCCAGAGCUUAACUUUGGAACUGCAUUUUUAACUACCGAGUUUAGAGGUGUCAGAGGGAGGUGGAAUUCGCGUGUAGCAGUGAAAUGCGUAGAUAUGCGGAGGAACGAUGGCGAAGGCAGCCUCCUGAUAACACUGACGCUCAUCACGAGUGUGGGGAGCAAACAGGAUUAGAUACCCUGGUAGUCACGCCCUAAACGAGGUCAACUAGCUGUUGGGGCCUUCGGGCCUCGGUAGCGCAGCUAACGCGUGUUGACCGCCUGGGGAGUACGGUCGCAAGAUUAAACUCAAAGGAAUUGACGGGGACCCGCACAAGCGGUGGAUGAUGUGGAUUACCCGAUGCAACGCGAAACCUUUACCUACCCUGACAUGUCUGGAAUCCCGAAGAGAUUUGGGAGUGCUCGCAAGAGAACCGGAACACAGGUGCUGCAUGGCUGUCGUCAGCUCGUGUCGUGGAGAUGUUGGGCUAAGUCCUGCAACGACAAGUGAAUUCCUUACGAAGAAGCUGCGCUGAAAGGGCACCUAAUGAGACUCGCUGGGUGACAAACCGGAGGAAGGUGGGGAUGACGUCGUCCUCAUGGCCCUGUAUGGGUAGGGCUUCGCUGACGUCAUACAAUGGUCGGGACAGAGGGUCGCCAACCCGCGAGGGGGAGCCAUCCAGAAACCCGAUCGUAGUCCGGAUCGCAGUCUGCAACUCGACUGCGUGAAGUCGGAAUCGCUAGUAAUCGCGGAUCAGCAUGUCGCGGUGAAUACGUUCCCGGGUCUUGUACACACCGCCCGUCACACCAUGGGAGUGGGUUUUACCAGAAGUAGUUAGCCUAACCGUAAGGAGGGCGAUUACCACGGUAGGAUUCAUGACUGGGGUGAAGUCGUAACAAGGUAG
rnacentral:rRNA from 1 species